AGCACAUGGGCCCGCGGGCCGGGCGGGCUCGGGGCGGCCGGGACGAGGAGGGGCGACGACGAGCUGCGAGCAAAGAUGUGCCCCGGGACCCCCGGCACCUUCCAGUGGAUUUCCUUGCGGAAAGGAUGUUGGCGGUCCCUGUGACCUGUGGAGACACGGCCAGAUCUGCCCUCCAGAUUUAUUAGGAGAAAAACCUUCCCGGAAGCUGCAGAAGGACAAAUACAGAAUCCGUGUCUGGGAGAAACCUCGUGGCCUGGUCUCCAUUAUUUGAGAUGAGUUACAUCUUGGAGCUGACCAUACUCCCUGGAGCCUUCUCCCGAGGUGCGCGGGUGACCUUGGCACAUACAGCCAUCAUGAUGGUACUUUAAGUGGAGGCUGAAUCAUCUCCCCUUUGAGCUGCUUGGCACGUGGCUCCCUUGGUGUUCCCCUUUUACUGCCAGGACACUGAGAUUUGGAGAGAAUCCUGUUACACCUGGGAUUUAGGCACUUUCAAUCUGAAAAAAUACAUAUCCUUUCAGCACUCUGGACGGACUUGAGAACUGUCCUUACGUGACCUAAAGCUGGAGUAUUUUGAGAUUGGAGAAUUAAGGCCUUCAGUGGGUUGAAUGAGGCCCAACCCACAUUGAAGAGGACCAUCUGCUUUACUCAGUCUCCUGGUUGAAGUGAUAAUCUCAUCUGGACAUACUCAGAAAUGCUGUUUAACCAGCUCUCUGGAAAUCCUGUGGCCCAGUCAAGUUGACACACAAAAUUAACCAUCACACUGCAGAGACACAGUCUAUCCCAAUACCUGUAUUUACUGGAGUGUGGGCACCCUGGCUUCAAGCUCACGAGAAACCAGAAGGAAGUCACUGUGCAUAGCCAUCCCCUAAGAAGAGGGCAUUCCUGCUCUUCCUUCUCCAUGGCUAGAGGAUCUACAUGAACUAUUUAGAUUUUUUCUACCUGGGAGAUUUAACUCCUCUCUCCUAUUUAUUUAUUUAUAUAUCAGCAUGGACUUGCAGGCCAACAGAGAUUUUGAGAAACACAUUGAAGGAUCUGUUAACACUUGAUAUACCCAAUAAAAGCAGUGGUUGUGCCAGUGCUGAUCUGUCUUGAUGUGAAUGUGAACAAUGGGAACCUGAGCUGAGCAGUUAAUGCUAGGGUGACAGAAACUGGACCUCUCCCAAGACAUGUGACAGAGUAAUACAGCAGCCAACUUCUUCGCCAAAUUAAAGUUUUACAAGAUUUAACCUGUCAUCAAGACCUGGGAUUUUGGUGAAGGACAGAAUAACGGGCUCCCAGAUUCACAAGCCCCACCAAGAGGAUCACCCCAGGAACGCUUGGAGGCUGAGGAGUUCACUGAGGCUACUGCAUCUUGAGACUCAGGAUGAAGACCCAGCUUGGGGCUGUCAAAGGUUUUUUGCAUGUCUGACACCCAUGACUCCACCUGGACCUUAUGGCUCCACCCAGAAGCAAUUCAGCCCAACAGGAGGACAGCUUCAACCCAUUACGAUUUCAUCUCUGCCCCAACCACUCAGCAGCAAGCACCUGUUACCUGUCCACCCCCACCCCUUCCCCCAAACUGCCUUUGAAAAAUCCCUAACCUAUGAGCUUUGAAUAAGAUGAGUACGAACUUCAUCGCCCACGUGGCGUGGCCGGCCUCGUGUCUAUUAAAUUCUUUUUCUACUACAA
ensembl:lncRNA PVT1 Pvt1 oncogene